CAGUCGCCGCGGGAAUACGAAGGGGGCUAGCGUUGUUCGGAAUUACUGGGCGUAAAGCGCUCGUAGGCGGAUAUUUAAGUCAGGGGUGAAAUCCCAGAGCUCAACUCUGGAACUGCCUUUGAUACUGGGUAUCUUGAGUAUGGAAGAGGUGAGUGGAAUUCCGAGUGUAGAGGUGAAAUUCGUAGAUAUUCGGAGGAACACCAGUGGCGAAGGCGGCUCACUGGUCCAUUACUGACGCUGAGGUGCGAAAGCGUGGGGAGCAAACAGGAUUAGAUACCCCGGUAGUCCCUGUCUCUUAUAC
rnacentral:rRNA from 1 species